AUCUGUUGUAUGUUUUAAAACAUGGCCGGAAAAUACAAUUUGUUUGUGGCGUCUACUACAAAAUUAAUAGAGAUGUAUGAAGCUGAUGCGGCGCUUUACAAUGUGAGGCACCCUGAAUUUAAAAAUAGAUUAUGAAGAUUGGUGAGCUACAAAAAUAUUAUUAGCCGUCACAUACGGCCUGGGUGCACGGCUGACGACAUUAAAAAGAAAAUUAAUGGCCUCUGCACAAGUUACUCUUACGAGAAAGCAAAAAUGCAGAAAAUCAAAAGUGGAGCCAGUGCACAGGUGGCGUACACUCCACAAGUGUACUGGUUCCACAUGCUACAGUUCCUCGACCAGGCCACAGGGCGGACGAUAGUGUCUGUAAUAUCGAGAGCACAGAAAGUGGAAGUGAACAUAGUACACCAACAUUCGAAUAAAUGUUUGAGGCUCUACAAGAACCUUCUGUUGCAUGCAGUGAGCCACAGCCCCAGCAUCAAGAGCGACCUCCCAGAAAAAGAAGGAAAGGCAUAACAGAUGUCAUUGUGGAGGACACCAGGACAUUGAAGGCUGUGGCUGGUAUGGCCAGGACUCUGCCCCGGCCUGUCCAAGAAGACCGUUACAGUGCCCUUGCCACCCAAAUCACAGCUGAACUGCAUAAGAUGAAUAAUGUGAGUGGUAAGGAAUUUAUAACGGGCACAAUACAUGGUUUGCAGCAGUAUUUGAUGGACAGGUGGGAUUUGCUGCAUGUGACAACGCAACAAGCACAAUCAUCCGCCUCUGGAUAUAUCCAUGUUGCCUUGCAGCAAGCUGGUGUAGAAGAGGACGAUACCAUAUUAUAAAUUAUAUAUAAUUUUUUUGUAUCUCUCCAGUCUUCUUAAUCUAUUUUUGUACUCAGGAUGCCUCACGUUGUAAAACGCCUAAUCAGCUUCAUACAUCUCUAUUAAUUUUGUAGUUUCAGACACCAAUUGGUACA